rnacentral:misc_RNA from 1 species
UAUGCAAGAAAGCUCUCGUGAUUUUCGUGAUUUUCCACAGAGGCUGAACUCCGGGACGCCCACCGUCCCAAUAUUGGUUUUGUGUUGUUUCGCGAUGGUAUAUGUGUGCAGAUGAAUGGCGUUGUGGAAUCGCCAUGACGAAGCCUAGAAGGCUUUUGCUUUUAAAUUUAAUGGAAUUGAAAUAGAACGGAGGCAAGCGCUCGAGCUUUUAGGGGAUUCGGGGUUAAAGCGCCGUAACUACGGCGCACCACCGUACGAGAGGUCGUCCAUUAGAACUUUCCCGUCGCAGCAAGAAACGAGACCUGCCUAUAUUCUGGUGGUGGUUACAGUUAAAACGCAGUCAAGGCUCUACACAGGUCCGCGGCCAGGAGUCAUAUUAUUGCGAAAUAUUUUGAAAUUUCAAGUUGCGUAGUCACUUGCCAGUGGAAAACAGGAACAACAGGGUGGAAAUCAGUAAUCGUCGUGUGAGAGUUUUCGCUUAGCUUUCGCGUAAUCACCGCAAUUCGCAUCAGAGGGUGUAGUGUUUUUAUUUACGUCAGCGGGUUUUUUUCUGUUCGCUGUUAUGACUCUUGAAUUGUUUAUAUUUUUUUUUUCUUAGUCGCCAUUGGUUAUUUUUUUCUAUCGGUUUCAGUAUGUUUCUCAAAUUGGGUGAAAAAUUGCACGAGAUAGUUCCCCUAUACAACAAUAUAAAAGGAAUUCGAAACUAAACAAAUAAAUAAAUAAGUGCGACGCAAUGGAACUUCGUAGUUCAAUUAAAAAAAAAGUCGAGAUCUAAUUCAAUACGAAACUUUCAUUUAAUUGCGUUGUAUCGAAGACGACCAAACGUGCAACUUUCGUUCGACGUUUCAUUUUCGUUUUUCAUACGAGGUGGUGAUGCGAUAGUUCAGUGAAAAACCAAUUUCCCAAGGACGAGCAAGUGCUUCUUCAUAGGAUUGUGUAUUUCGACACCACGUCAAGGGAAAGGUUUGCAUUCGUGGCCAUGAAAACGCCCACACGUCUUCCAGAUAACCAGGAAACCUCUCAGAAAACCAGGAGCCGAGUUUUCAAUACCAACAACAACAUCUCAAAACGCAUUCAACAAUUAUUUGUUGACGAAGCAAAAGCUCCGUGUUUACCAAUAAUCGACCAUAUGUUAAGCUUGCGCAGAACGCGUCAACUUGAACUUGAAAAUCGGGUGAGUCAAAUCGAUAGGUCAGUCAUGUUCUUCCAUUUAUUUGUGUUAUGUAAACAGAACCAAGCAUGUGUGAGCGAUACCAACACAUCUUUAAAUCAAUACAUAUUAAAGUCGAGAGUAAAACCUACAAACACUAGGCCCCUGAGGAACCACACUAUAUUGACGUGUUUGCUCCACCAGUGCAUCUACGUAUCUUAAAGCGAAUGUAUGUCAAAAAUGUGCAGAGGAGAAAGCGCAAUAUUAGAGAGGGAAAGUAAAAGGGGAGGGGGAACUUUUCUGGGUAGUUUGAAUUGUAUAGAUACUGAGUCAUGUAAAUGUAGUGGAAAAUUAUCAUUAAAUGGCUCUAUUCCCUGUACAGAUUCUUAACAAAAUCCGGGCUUUUUCCGGCUGAGCUUUCGCCAGUGUGGCCAUUUGCAUAUACAUCUUUUUAUUAUAUCUGAAUCAUCUUAAAAUUGACUCUAUACAAAAUAUUUGUCUACAAAGUCAUCGGGUAAUUUUUCUAACCACAAAAUUGCAAAUAUUAUAAACAGUCGCUUUGAAGGCUUUGAAAGAGAUCUCAUUAGCAGAAAACUCUUAAUUUUGAGUGAGCCAACAAAAUCCCGAAAGGAAAUGAGCCCAAUUAAAACAGCAGGAAGAUAACAAAGGAUAUGAUUUCCUCUCCUG